UUCCUCUUCUCCUUUCUCAUUUUUUUUUCUCUCUCUAAACUGCGCAUACCUCUUCAGUUCGUCCUUCUUCAAUCACAGAUCUACUCUUCAAUUGACUCCCAACAACUUCUCGUUAAUGGUAACAAAUAGAUAUACUGGAUGCAUCCAGAUUUGAUUACAGAGAAUACGAACUACCAUUCAAGAUGAGUUUCUUCCCUUUAUCUCUUCUUUAGAUUUUCUUGGAUCGAGAUCUGAUUUGGUUUAAAGAAGUAUUUGUCUGCUUGGAUUUUUUUUUUUUGAUGAUUUGUAGCUUUGAGUGCGGAAGAUUGUGAUGGACUUGCUAAAGCUUUAAAGGUUACAAAAGUUGAUGUUGUUGCCAUCGAAAUAGACGAUGAAUGGAGAGGUUGAAGAAGAGAUCUGAGUCCUCAAAUGGAUAAAAACGAUGGGUUUGUGGUGGAUUCGAGUUGCAUGAAGUUUUGACAGGGUUUUCAAUCCGUGAAAUGAACAAGAAGAUGGUUAACUUCCAUGUGUACAAGGUAAUGAAAAACAGAACAAGUAUAGCAGAGUUUCCUCCAUCAACAGCUUGUGAAAUGCACAUCAACUGUUUGAUAAAAGGCCUAAAUGACCGAAUAUUGUGCCGGUCUAAUUUACAAAUUCUCUGCAGCUAUUAGUGAUGGUUCUUGCGGCUGCUUAUCAAUGGUCAAGAGAGAAAUUCACAUCAACGAGGCAGAGAAGUGGCUGAGGUAUGGUGAUAUGCAAUGGAGAACAUUGUCGCAAUACAUAAGCAAAGGAAACUGUGGAUAAUGAUUUGUGGGUUUAGGCCUACACAAGAGAUUCAUAUUCUCUCUUCACUUCAAAACCCAUGGUCUUUGGUUUACAAGCUUCAUUUGGAGCCAGCUGAUGCAGUUCCCAACUUAGUUGACCAUGAACAUGACAAAUUGAUUCUCAAUGGGAAUCAGUAAAAAAUGUGCUGGGUAUAGUUCUUCCAAUUGAGCAAGUAAACAGAACAACUACAUACUACAAUCUGAUGUGACUCAGCUGGUGACCAGGUACCCUCUUGGUCCUAGUAUAGAUGCGGGACUUACUGAUGCUUCACCAAGUACUACAUUGACCAAUGUGGCCAACAGUGUAGAAAUUGAUCAGCAUUCUUGAAAAAGCUGGGGUCUAACAACCACACCCAAUAUUUCGCUUAGAAAUCUGUAUGGACAAACUCCAAUAUACUUUUUAGAUAAUCAACUAGACAGUCAGACUCAAUCUAGACAAAAAGUAUAUCAAAGGGUUUAUAUCUCAAUCUCUCGAUUUGAUAUAUACUCAAGCAAAUAGGAAUCUGCGAGUCUUUAUCAAAUACUAGAGAGAUAACUUGAAUGGUAUCAAAGACCAAUAUCCAAGUGUCGAUAAAUUUAAAUUAACAAUCAAAAAGUCGGAUAUUCUAAUUGAUUGAACAA